rnacentral:tRNA from 1 species
GGGUGUUAGUAAAGUAAAUACAUAGCCUUGUCAAGUCUAAGUCGCAGGUGGAAACCCUGCACAUCCC